GGAAAAUCGGGGUCAACUUUCUUAAGGUCUGGUCAAGAUCAACUUUGCCACAUGUCGCCUUGUGAGUGGGUGAACAAAAGGGUUAAGGAUGGUGGAGAUGGUGGGAUCUUGAUCGUCCCCAGAAUCGAACGACUCAGGAGGUGACACGCCUCCCUCUGCAUGUGUGGAGGAGGAACAAAACUCCCUUUUCUUGUUUCUUUCCCACUUUGACUCUUCCAUUCCCGCAGCACCCCCUCUCUCCUUCUCUUCUUCGUUGGCAGCGUCGAACAACCCCUGCUCGGCAGUGAAGCUACCUGCCGCCACCGCAAUGUCCAGAUACCCCGGCGGCGCCUCUCCCCUCAUGAACGGCUAUCCCGCCGGAAAAUCCCUUUUGAUUCCUUCCUCAAACACCUUCACCAGCUCCGAGUAGCCCUCUACGGCCUUCUCUUGCUUUUUGCAACUGCUCUUCAAGAUCGGAUACAGAGUGGGCAUGAUCUUCUCAUCGGAGAACAUAGCCCAGAACCGGACUUUGGCUCACUCAUGAGAGUCCUCUGGCAAGAUCUUGGGGGAGUGGUUCCAGAGCUCGUCAAUGUACUCGAGGAUGACGAGGCACUCGCAGAUGGGUCUACCGCUGUGAACCAGCACGGGCACUUUCUUGUGAACAGGGUUGUGCGUGAGAUUGAUUUGUGCGUGAGAGUGUUUGGCCGUAUGUGAACAGUGUUGUGCGUGAGAUUCAAGCUGUCGAGACUCGAAGGGGCAGUGCUGGCAACAAAUGGAACUCGCGAAAGAUUUCUUGAGUCGUCGUCGAUGGAGGCGACUUCGUCUUUGGGGAGUGGAGCGUUGCGGCCUUGCGGGUGACUAGUGAUGUUGGGUGAAGGUGAACAACGGCGAUGUAGGGCUGGAAUGGUGACACUCUGCCGCGGCUACGUAUGGAGGUUGGUUACUGUGAGAGAGCCGAGAAGCUGAAGCGGGGUUGAGAGGGACUGCUGCAACUGCUUCUUGCUGUGUUGUGUGUGUACUUCCUCGACUGUUGCUCUUGCCGGCUGCUGGUGUGAUGACCGUGAGAGAGGUGUGGGCAAUGGAGACGGAAAAGAGUAUGGAGAGUCGGAAAGAGCUGAGCAAGGGGUUGGCCGUGAAUAUGGUGGCAAUGCGGAGAUGAUGGUGGAAUGAUCGUUUGCAAGCACAGUAGACAGAGAGGACGGUAGAGCAGGUGACUGUUUGGGAGUCUUGCAGGUGAUCGUUCGAACGGUCAAGCGAGAAAGUUAUUUAAACUCGAAAAUGGGGAAGCUUGGUGAUCUAGGUGGCAACGAGAGAAUGGAAAGCUUGGCAUCCUGUUAUUUCAUUUUUGUUUUUGUAUUUUCCUUUCUUUUAUUCUGUGAUGUACCCUCGAGUUGCUUGUACUACAACUUCACUUUGUACAACUUUUAUUUUCAUUUCUAGUUGGAAGCUUUGUAUGUAUUAUUUCCCUGGACCUUACAUAUAUACCAAUGUACCUCCACCCCCUUGUACUA